GGCUUAGAGUUUGAUCAUGGCUCAGGAUGAACGCUGGCGGCGUGCCUAACACAUGCAAGUCGAACGAAGCGCCUUAAGGGAUCCUUCGGGUGACCUUUUGGUGACUGAGUGGCGGACGGGUGAGUAACGCGUGGGUAACCUGCCCUGUACAGGGGGAUAACAGCCAGAAAUGGCUGCUAAUACCGCAUGAGCGCACAUGGGGGCAUCCUCAUGUGUGAAAGACUCCGGUGGUACAGGAUGGGCCCGCGUCUGAUUAGCUGGUUGGCGGGGUAACGGCCCACCAAGGCGACGAUCAGUAGCCGGUCUGAGAGGAUGAACGGCCACAUUGGAACUGAGACACGGUCCAAACUCCUACGGGAGGCAGCAGUGGGGAAUAUUGCACAAUGGGGGAAACCCUGAUGCAGCAACGCCGCGUGAGUGAAGAAGUAUUUCGGUAUGUAAAGCUCUAUCAGCAGGGAAGAUGAUGACGGUACCUGACUAAGAAGCUCCGGCUAAAUACGUGCCAGCAGCCGCGGUAAUACGUAUGGAGCAAGCGUUAUCCGGAUUUACUGGGUGUAAAGGGUGCGUAGGCGGCAGGGCAAGUCAGAUGUGAAAGACCGGGGCUUAACUCCGGGGCUGCAUUUGAAACUGCUUUGCUUGAGUCCGGGAGAGGCAGGCG
rnacentral:rRNA from 1 species